rnacentral:rRNA from 1 species
AGUGAACGCUGGCGGUAGGCCUAACACAUGCAAGUCGAACGGCAGCACAGUAAGAGCUUGCUCUUACGGGUGGCGAGUGGCGGACGGGUGAGGAAUACAUCGGAAUCUACUUUUUCGUGGGGGAUAACGUAGGGAAACUUACGCUAAUACCGCAUACGACCUACGGGUGAAAGCAGGGGAUCUUCGGACCUUGCGCGAUUGAAUGAGCCGAUGUCGGAUUAGCUAGUUGGCGGUGUAAAGGCCCACCAAGGCGACGAUCCGUAGCUGGUCUGAGAGGAUGAUCAGCCACACUGGAACUGAGACACGGUCCAGACUCCUACGGGAGGCAGCAGUGGGGAAUAUUGGACAAUGGGCGAAAGCCUGAUCCAGCCAUACCGCGUGGGUGAAGAAGGCCUUCGGGUUGUAAAGCCCUUUUGUUGGGAAAGAAAAGCAGCAGGUUAAUACCCCGCUGUUCUGACGGUACCCAAAGAAUAAGCACCGGCUAACUUCGUG